CCCUUAGAUGUUCUGGGCCGCACGCGCGCUGCACUGAUGCAUUCAACGAGUGUACCUUGGCCGAGAGGCCUGGGCAAUCUUUUGAACGUGCAUCGUGAUAGGGAUAGAUUAUUGCAAUUAUUAAUCUUGAACGAGGAAUUCCUAGUAAACGCAGUUCAUCAAACUGCAUUGAUUACGUCCCUGCCCUUUGUACACACCGCCCGUCGCACCUACCGAUUGGAUGGUCCGGUGAAGCCUCGGGAUUGUGGCGGUUGCCUUUAUUGGUGGCCGCCGCGAGAACUUGUCUAAACCUUAUCAUCUAGAGGAAGGUGAAGUCGUAACA
rnacentral:rRNA from 1 species